rnacentral:rRNA from 1 species
UCCCAGACUCCUACGGGAGGCAGCAGUGGGGGAUAUUGCGCAAUGGGGGAAACCCUGACGCAGCAACGCCGCGUGAAGGAAGAAGGCCUUCGGGUUGUAAACUUUUGUCGCAAGGGAAGAAGACAGUGACGGUACCUUGUGAGGAAGCCACGGCUAACUACGUGCCAGCAGCCGCGGUAAUACGUAGGUGGCGAGCGUUGUCCGGAUUUACUGGGUGUAAAGGGAGCGUAGACGGCAGCGCAAGUCUGAAGUGAAAUCCCAUGGCUUAACCAUGGAACUGCUUUGGAAACUGUGCAGCUGGAGUGCAGGAGAGGCAGACGGAAUUCCUAGUGUAGCGGUGAAAUGCGCAGAUAUUAGGAGGAACACCAGUGGCGAAGGCGGUCUGCUGGACAGCAACUGACGCUGAGGCGCGAAAGCGUGGGGAGCAAACAGGAUUAGAUACCCCUGUA